rnacentral:tRNA from 1 species
GCGGGGGUGGCAGAGCCUGGUCAAAUGCGCUAAUUCAUUUGUGUAUGCAAAUGAAGCGUUUGCUUGAGGGGCUAGUCUCUUAGUGAGUGCGAGGGUUCAAAUCCCUUCUCCCGCA